rnacentral:rRNA from 1 species
AUGGCCCGUACCCUAAACCGACACAGGUGGUCAGGUUGAAAAUACUAAGGCGUUCGGGUGAACUGUGGUUAAGGAACUCGGCAAAAUGCCCCCGUAACUUCGGGAGAAGGGGGACCACACGACUUAAGCACUCCUUGCGGGUGUGGUGGGUUGUGGGGUCGCAGAGAAUAGAGGGAAGCGACUGUUUAUCAAAAACACAGGUCCAUGCGAAGACGUUAAGUUGAUGUAUAUGGACUGACGCCUGCCCGGUGCUGGAAGGUUAAGAGGACCGGUUAGUAGUCUUUUGACUGCGAAGCUGAGAAUUUAAGCCCCAGUAAACGGCGGUGGUAACUAUAACCAUCCUA